rfam:Gossypium hirsutum cultivar TM-1 unplaced genomic scaffold scaffold1852.1, whole genome shotgun sequence
AAGCAGUGACGAUAGCUGCGCUUUAGCGGAGCUGGGUUCUUCGCAAUGGUCUGAUUUUAAGACGAUUAACGGCGCUUCUGAGCUU